ensembl:lncRNA
AGGAGAUCUGCUCCAGCUCAAUUCUGCAAAGCUGAGCUUUCCUUCGAUAGGCUUGGAAGUGGCGUGUUGUUUGUGGAAACUUCUGAAUACUGAAAAUGAGGGGCCUUUCGUAGCACCUCAGGACAAUCAUUUCAAGUUAGCAGUCAAGCUGCGUGGAAAAAACAGCUCCUCGGCUGUGCCUGCCAGAUCCUGUUGGCUCUGCUGAAGGCUCCAUUGGGGAAUGGUGAGAAAAUAAAGCGAGAAAACAAAUUUCAGGUCCAUUCUCAGCUGAGAUGAGCAACGACCAUUGCAAGAGCAGAAAGCCAUGCUGCAGCAGGAGGAGGAUGUGAAAUCACACUGGAGGACCUUGAGGCACUCACAGUCCCACUGGAGAGGGAAAUACUGAGCCACAAGGAUGGAAUCUCAGUGCCCUGAAGAAACUUGGAUGUUUGUCCAUAUGUACCAGCAAGAAGAGUAAAACCAAAGUCCCCAAGCUACACAUUGACUGCUCCUGACUGCAAGAGGAGUCAUUUCACAAACCCAGUGUCGUGUGGUGCUGAAGACUUCCAGAAAACUCAAGUGGACAUGAGAGUGAACCAUGUGCUCAGGAUGAAUCAGGAAUCCCAUGUGGGUGACUCAGUCAAAUGGCUGCCCCAUUGGCAGGGCUUGAGGCUUUGGACAGGCUGAAGGAAAAGUGCUGAUCAGGAUGUGAGCCUUUCUCAGGAGAGGUGGGGAUGGGCUUUAGUCAGAACACAAGCUGUAACUGCGUGG